rnacentral:rRNA from 1 species
AACGCGAAGAACCUUACCUGGGCUCGAACGGCUUUGGAUCAACGGUAGAAAUACUGUCUUCCCGCAAGGGACCGGAGUCGAGGUGCUGCAUGGCUGUCGUCAGCUCGUGUCGUGAGAUGUUGGGUUAAGUCCCGCAACGAGCGCAACCCUUGUCCUGUGUUGCCACUCCGUAAGGAAGCACUCUCAGGAGACCGCCAGCGAUAAGUUGGAGGAAGGUGGGGAUGAUGUCAAGUCAUCAUGGCCUUUAUGUCCAGGGCUACACACGUGCUACAAUGGGCGGUACAAAGCGCUGCAAACCCGCGAGGGGGAGCUAAUCGCAAAAAACCGUUCUCAGUUCGGAUCGCAGGCUGCAACCCGCCUGCGUGAAGCUGGAAUCGCUAGUAAUGGCGUAUCAGAAUGAUGCCGUGAAUACGUUCCCGGGCCUUGUACACACCGCGAGC